GACGAACGCUGGCGGCGUGCUUAACACAUGCAAGUCGAGCGGAGCGGCGGACGGGUGCGUAACGCGAGAGUAACUGCCCCCCUCUCUGGGAUAACCGUAGGAAAAGGCUGCUAAUCACGGAGAGUGGGGGCUGACUCGCGUCCUAUCAGCUUGUUGGGGGGGUAGUGACCUACCACGGAGACGACGGGUAGCCGGCCUGAGAGGGCGACCGGCCACAUUGGGCGUAGGUACUGCCCAAACUCAUACGGGGGGAAGCAGUGGAGAACAGUGCACAAUGAGGGAAACCCUGAUGCAGCAACGCCGCGUUCGGGAUGACGGCCUUCGGGUUGGAAACCGCUUUCAGCCAUUAGGCGGUAGUUGCAGAAGAAGCACCGGCUAACUACGUGCCAGCAGCCGCGGUAAUAC
rnacentral:rRNA from 1 species